rnacentral:lncRNA from 1 species
CGUAGAGUCUCCGCGUCUCGCGCAUUGACGUCACACAAUCCGCCAUGACACCUGCAUGCGCCAAUCAAAUCACUCAUACACCGCCGCCCGACAUCUUGGAUGCAGUAACAAGUUGAAACCAGUCGUGCCGGUGUCGAAGUCGUUUGUUGUUAUGCGUUGUGUGGUAUUGCGUCUAAAGUGAGCCUAAAAUCGAUUUUCCGGGUUUACUCGUGUUUUUGGUGUCAUUUGUGAACUUUACUUUUGUGAAAGUGAUAAUGUGUAUCAGUGUCAAGUAGUGACAGUACUUAUUAUAAUGUGGACUCUAAUUUACAAAUGUGACGCGGAAGAGUAUGAUGCUGUGCCCAGUGUGUGGAUCAUCACGAAGUCUUCUGCUAAAUAUCCUACUGACGAACCCAUCACUACUGUUAUCGACCUAGCUGCAGCCGGCGAGGAUUUGGCGACAUUUGAUCCUAUUUCUAUUCAAGUGAUCAAAGAGGAGUAUGAUUCUUUCAAAAAGUGCUCUGACGAUGCCUGGCGGCUAAAUGGUGGAAGAGCAAGAGCAUCGGAAUCUGAAAGAGAACCGAAAGGUAGAGGCCACCGGCAAAAAAAGAAACUAGCCGCUUAUCAUCAUCAGACUCAAAUGACGAUUCGUCUGAUGAACCUACCAGAAAAAAAUCAAAGAAAGGUGGCAAGCGAGGACGGAGGAAGAGACUUGAUUCAUCUGAUGAAGAUGAGGAGAGGCGGAGGAAAAUUGAGGUGGCCUUGGAAAAAGUAA